UAAAUACACACACACAGAUCCAUACAUACACACAUACAGACCCAUACAUACACACAAACAGACCCAUGUGUAGACUGACAUACACAAACAUAUUGACUGACUGACACAGACUGAGAUACACUGCAAGUUCUCUCUUACCUGCAUUGCACUUUGCUCUUCGUUCCUGUCUUCUUUACUGCGCCUGGCGGCCGACACCUUUUUCCCAGUCCCAUUUCCUGUUAUUCUCCUGCCCACUGGUC